GACGAACGCUGGCGGCGUGCUUAACACAUGCAAGUCGAACGGAAAGGCCCUGCUUUUGUGGGGUGCUCGAGUGGCGAACGGGUGAGUAACACGUGAGUAACCUGCCCUUGACUUUGGGAUAACUUCAGGAAACUGGGGCUAAUACCGGAUAGGAGCUCCUGCUGCAUGGUGGGGGUUGGAAAGUUUCGGCGGUUGGGGAUGGACUCGCGGCUUAUCAGCUUGUUGGUGGGGUAGUGGCUUACCAAGGCUUUGACGGGUAGCCGGCCUGAGAGGGUGACCGGCCACAUUGGGACUGAGAGACGGACCAGAAUCCUACGGGAGGCAGCAGUGGGGAAUAUUGCACAAUGGGCGGAAGCCUGAGGCAGCAACGCCGCGUGCGGGAUGACGGCCUUCGGGUUGUAAACCGCUUUCGCCUGUGACGAAGCGUGAGUGACGGUAAUGGGUAAAGAAGCACCGGCUAACUACGUG
rnacentral:rRNA from 1 species